rnacentral:rRNA from 1 species
UAUGGUCAAAUCACGCUGAAACACCGGUUCUCGUUCGAUCACCGAAGUUAAGCAUCGUAGAGCCAGGUCAGUACUUAGAUCGGGGACCGCUUGGGAACACCUGGUACUGUAAG